CAACCCACACGCUCUUUCUACUCUUCUUCUUUUCACUUGGCAUUCAGCCAUUUAUGAUGGACUAGAAUCACUAGAUGUUGCAGCUACUCUGCACUGUGAUUUAUAGCUAAAUGUUUCUGAUUCGCACAAUCACCUAUUUAAUAUUUAUGAUUAACGACGUGCUAAAGAGAGAGAUAGAAAGAAAAAAUAAAUGAAGAUUAUAUAGGAGAGAAAGUGUGAUUGAAGAACAAAUAUGUCGGUUUGAACAGGUAGGGAAUUUUUUUAAUGCAAAACAAAAAUCACUAAACUAGGGGACUAAAACUGCAUUAAAGCCAUUUAUUUAUGCAGCAGCAGGUAAAAUUAGGUGGUGUUUUGGUAAAGAACUCUUGAGGUGCUUCACUAUCCUAAGCAAACACCGAGCAAAUCACUAACUAAAGAAGCUCCUUCAGCUAUAAAAGAAGACCACUUGGAGCAGCAUUCAACCCAAUAACUAGCACCAUCUCCUCCUUCUUCACCAUCUCUCUGAAAUCUUAUCAUCCAACCAACUUCCGAUUUCAUCCUCUUCCCCUGUUACUCCCAGGAACUGGUAUGUACGUGUAUUCAAAUAUGACACCAACGUCACAUUUGAGUACAUUGUAUAUACCAAUUCUUCCGACUAACAAAAACCACACCUAGAAAAGUUUCCAAUAGAUUGGGAAUGUGAAAAGUGAGCUUGUAUUACAUGUAUGGUUUAUUAGUGCUUGUUUAUGAAUGAUGAGCUAUAUAUGUUAAUGAAUGAAGAAUGGCAUUGGCAAUCUUACACCCUUGAUCUUUAAGUUUGAACUUUUUCACUUAGCAUUGUUUUUUCUUCCACAUGCCCCAUGUUCAAUGGGGCUAAAGAUUGCUGUGACAUAAAAAAUUAGAUGUUACUUGAGUUGUGCCUCGGAUUGUUUGCGCGCAGUGGAGGUUUUUCGGGAUCAUGUUGAUGUAUUUACUUUCUGGGCCAAAAAUGCAAUCCAGUGUAUUAGAUGCUGAUCAAUAGAGCUUGGAAGGUUUCAGUGAUUCAUAUCCCCAAAGAGAUGAAUAAUGCAGAAGACUUCUUGGCCCGUCAGGCUUCUAGAGAUGGCUCCGCUCGCCGUAUUUGAAAGACUCCUCCUUCUGUGUUGUUGCUUCUCUUUGCCUUGAAGUUGUAACUUAGUUCUGUUUCUUUUAGUCUUCUUCUUGUAACCAAAAAAAGAAGUGGUUCUUCAGUGAAUACUAAACAUUAUCAUUUUCCUGUUU